CAUACAUUGACACAAAUGCAAACUAAAAUUUGUUUGCGUUUGGGUGAAUGUAUGUAGCCAAACUGUCUAUUGUCUUUAUGCUGGAAAGCACUUUAAAUGUGCUACAGAAAUAAAAA